GGAAAGAUGAAAAGAACUUUGAAAAGAGAGUUAAAUAGUACGUGAAAUUGUUGAAAGGGAAACGAUUGAAGUCAGUCAUGCCAGCGGGAAUCAACUUAGAGGAAACUCUAGGUGCACUUCUUCGCUUGGCAGGUUAGUGUCGAUCUUGGAUGUCAUAAAAUGACUGGGGGAAGGUAGCUCCUUUGGGAGUGUUAUAGCCCUUGGUAGAUGUGAUGUCUGGAAUCGAGGAUUGCAAUGGAUACCUUUUGGGGCUAGCCGCCUGAUCUCUAAUUGGUAUUGGGUUACGGAUAGCAUGCUGACCGUGAUCUAAUUAUUGGUUAAAAGGUUAGAGCCUGCAUAAAUUCAUUAAGGAUGUUGACGUAAUGGCUUUAACCGACCCGUCUUGAAACACGGACCA
rnacentral:rRNA from 1 species